AGCUGCUCCAGCCUGGUACUCUGGCCCCACUCUCUUCUUCAUCUUCCUUCACCUUCUUUUUGACUCUGGAAAGCCUCCCCCAAAGCCCAGGACAAAGAUGACUUUUGGAAGAUUGCCCAAAACGAUAGCUAGAGUGUGCCCUGGGCUCUGGGAGAUGGAGGAGAGAGGCGACAGGAGGAGUCAAUGGUUUGCCCAGUGCUGCGGGGAGGCGCUUUGCACGCUCUAGAUCGCAAGCCAAACGUCUAGUGCCAAGAGCUGUCAGGCAAAAGACUGGUCAGCUGGAGAGACUUCUCGGGACGCGGAGAGGUAGAACAGGUUUGCAGAGCGCUGGCAACCUCGGUUGACACUAAGGAUCUAUUGCCCCGCGCGCGCGCGAUGCGUGAGCUGAAUUGGGAUGGAAGGGCCUGUUGAAGAGCCAGGGAAGCAGCGUUUAGGAGAGAGUUUUCCGAGGCCACGCCGUGACGGUCGACAUUAAUAUUAGUGGAAAGACGCGUGCCCCGCAGUAAGAUCAUGAAAAGGGAUCCAGGAAAUGAAAGAGGAGAGGCAAGAAGGUAAGAAACACCCACGCGUUCCUCAGAAAUUGCGUGGGGAUGGGUGUCUUUAGUGGUUCAGGACUGUCAAGCUGACUCUGAGACUAUAGAAGAGACCACGCUAAUGCAACCCUCUACAACGGCAUCCUUAAACCCAGCAGAGCGGAAAGCUAAUGCCCUUUCCUUUCCGCCCGGAUGCAAGACUGGAUGGAAGGCAUCCAACAUGAUGAAAUACGGUGCAGAAGAAUGGUCUGGGCAGAAGGAGCGCUGGGUACUAAAGUUGCAUGACCAAAGAGAUCCGAGAGCUGUCUGCCACACCCCCUUCCUGCCUGGUUCCCUUUCUGACUGCCCUGGUCGCUCCCUUGGACUAUGAUGAACACGACUGCAGCGCCCCCUGCUGUGGGGAAGCUACAGGGCACAGAAAACACGUCCUUGCAGGGCUGACUUCCAACUUCCCCUUUUGCACCUAACCAGCAAGCUCUUCAAAGAUAAUAAGGAAAGUGGACUCCCUGGGUAUGUGGCAGCGAUCUGAAAAGUUUGAACGCCUGCAGAAUAAGGAUGUCUGACUUCACAAAGAAAUCGUUUGGAAACUGACAAAUAUUUUACAACUUCAAAAGUAUUUAAAACUUAGCCUGCAAAAUAAAAACAUCUUCAUAAAAGUUAUGAAGACCCCGUUCUAAAGUAUACAAGCUAAAGAACUGAUUAUGUACCACAAAAGCUGUGAAGCUGAGAUCUUAAUUUUCUUGGCACUGGGUUGCAGCCCUUGGGUUGAAGAGAGCAAACGGCUGCUGAGGGCCAUGGCCAUGCACAAGGAACAACAAAUGGUCUUAAAACUCAUGGAAUGUUGUCCACUGGUUACCACAGCCACGCUGGAUUUUCCUCGGUAGGGAAUGACCCCGAGGAUCACGUGUCCUGAGGACUUCAUGCUGUAAUGGAGUUCUGCUCUGCUUGCUGCCCUCACAUCACUCUUAAUCUAAGAGAACUCUAAAGAGGCUUGCAGACUCUCACUGGGCAGUAUCUCUGGCACUCACAACAACAUUGCUUGAUUCCUUUCAGGCAUUGCUGCUGGAAGAGAUUCAACUGAUUCAACACCACCCUAGAAAAGAAUCUAGAGACAUAGAUUGUAAGUUAUGACAGCCGCCCUUGGAAAGCAUUUGGAAAAAUAAAAUUGUGAGUGAAGCUAGGUUAAGAUGCUUUUGCUACAGGCUCCCAGUGUAGAAAAUCUUAGGGAACAAUUUGAAGUUCAAAAAGGCACACUUUUAUUUGUUAAGCUAGGGACCUUUUAUGGUCAGGGAAUAAGAACAAUGGCAGCACUGGCUGAUGAUUCACAAUGAGGCUGGACUGAUGAUUUCUUUCUUUCUUCCUUUCUCUCUCUGUCUUUCUUUCUUCCUUUCUUUCUUCUUUCUUUCUUUCUUUCUUUCUUUCUUAAUUUCUUUCUUUCCAUUUAUUUAUUUAUUUAUUUAUUUAUUACUUAUUCACUUUAUAUCCUUCUCACUUCCCCCUUUCUGGUCACCCUCUCCCACAAUCCUUCCUCCAUGCUCCAUCUCCUUCUCUUCUAGGCAGGUGAGAGUCCCCUUGGCUAUCCCCCCACUCUGAUACUUCAAGUCUAUGCCAGGCUAGGUGCUUCCUUUCCCACCGAGGCCAGACAAAGUAACCCAGCUAGAAGACCAUAUCUCACAUAUAGGCAGCAGCUUUUGGGGUAGCUCCCAUUCCUAUUAUUCAGGAUCCACAUGAAGACCAAGCUGUCCAUCUGCUAUAUGUGAGCUGGAAGAGCUAGUUCCAGCCAGUGUAUGUUCUUUGGUUGAAAGCUGAGGCUCUUAGAGCCUCAAGGGUCCAGGUUAGUUGACUUUGUUGGUCUUCUUGUGGAGUUCGAUCCCCAUCAGGACCCACAGUCCUUCCUCCUAUUCUUCCAUGAGUCCCCAAGCUCCAUCCACAGUUUGACUUUGUGUGUCUAUAUCUAUCUGAGUCAGCUGCUGGGUGGAGCCUCUCAGAGGACAGCCAUGCUAGACUCCUGUCUGUAAGUAUAACAGAGUAUCAUUAAUAGUGUUAGGGAUUGGUACUUGCCCAUGGAAUGAAUCUCAAGUUGGGUCAGUUAUUGGUAGGCUAUUCCAAAAAUACCUUAUUUUGCUUUCACCUUUUCUGAUAUGAUUUAAUAAGAAUUGCUGGUGAGGAGAUAUGCAUUCUGAGGAUUUAAAGUAGGUCUGAAUGAUUUUUCUAUAAAAACUGAGAUUUCUAUUUCUUUUAAGAUUCUUAUUAGAAAAUAUUUGAUCUUUUCUUUGUAACCGCAAAUCACUGCCUGCCAGUAAGAGAAACUGGCUGAGAAAACUGUCUUGCUUACUUACACUUUGUUAAUCUAUAGCAAGUUGCUUAGUUACAAAUGUAUGUAGGUUCUUAGGAAUAAUUUUUUUUUACCUGUGCUACCUAACGUUAUUUCUUGUAAAGGUAUUGGGGAACACACUGUUUCUUCAUAGUCAUUUCCUGGAAGAAAACUAGAUCAUAAUCACACUGUAAUUUUAUACUGCUUGAAAGAUUUUGCUGGGAUAUAUAUGCCAUACAAUAAGGAAUAAAGUUGUUGGAACAUUGUUCCUUCCAUCCAUCAA
ensembl:processed_transcript Gm15663 predicted gene 15663